UACGGGGGGGGCAAGCGUUGUUCGGAAUUACUGGGCGUAAAGGGUGCGUAGGCGGGUCUUUUAAGUCAGGGGUGAAAUCCUGGAGCUCAACUCCAGAACUGCCUUUGAUACUGAAGAUCUUGAGUUCGGGAGAGGUGAGUGGAACUGCGAGUGUAGAGGUGAAAUUCGUAGAUAUUCGCAAGAACACCAGUGGCGAAGGCGGCUCACUGGCCCGAUACUGACGCUGAGGCACGAAAGCGUGGGGGAGCAAACAGG
rnacentral:rRNA from 1 species